rnacentral:tRNA from 1 species
UCCCUGGUGGUCCAGUGGUUCGGACUCCAGGCUCCCAGUGCAGGGGGCACAGGUUCCAUUCCUGGCCGGGGAA